rnacentral:rRNA from 2 species
ACAUGCAAGUCGAGCGGAUCGAUGGGAGCUUGCUCCCUGAGAUCAGCGGCGGACGGGUGAGUAACACGUGGGUAACCUGCCUGUAAGACUGGGAUAACUCCGGGAAACCGGGGCUAAUACCGGAUAACACCUACCCCCGCAUGGGGGAAGGUUGAAAGGUGGCUUCGGCUAUCACUUACAGAUGGACCCGCGGCGCAUUAGCUAGUUGGUGAGGUAAUGGCUCACCAAGGCGACGAUGCGUAGCCGACCUGAGAGGGUGAUCGGCCACACUGGGACUGAGACACGGCCCAGACUCCUACGGGAGGCAGCAGUAGGGAAUCUUCCGCAAUGGACGAAAGUCUGACGGAGCAACGCCGCGUGAGUGAAGAAGGUUUUCGGAUCGUAAAACUCUGUUGUUAGGGAAGAACAAGUGCCGUUCGAAUAGGGCGGCGCCUUGACGGUACCUAACCAGAAAGCCACGGCUAACUACGUGCCAGCAGCCGCGGUAAUACGUAGGUGGCAAGCGUUGUCCGGAAUUAUUGGGCGUAAAGCGCGCGCAGGUGGUUUCUUAAGUCUGAUG